GAUGAAGAACGUAGCGAAAUGCGAUAAGUAAUGUGAAUUGCAGAAUUCAGUGAAUCAUCGAAUCUUUGAACGCACAUUGCGCCCCUUGGUAUUCCGAGGGGCAUGCCCGUUCGAGCGUCAUUAUACCCCUCAAGCCUAGCUUGGUGUUGGGGCCUGCUGUUACCGGCAGCCCUUAAAAUCAGUGGCGGUGCCAUCUGGCUCUAAGCGUAGUAAUACUUCUCGCUACAGGGUCCCGGUGGAUGCUUGCCAUCAACCCCUAAUUUUCUAUGGUUGACCUCGGAUCGGGUAGGGAUACCCGCUGAACUUAAGCAUAUCAAUAGCGGAGGA
rnacentral:misc_RNA from 1 species